AUUGAACGCUGGCGGAAUGCUUUACACAUGCAAGUCGAACGGCAGCACGGACUUCGGUCUGGUGGCGAGUGGCGAACGGGUGAGUAAUGUAUCGGAACGUGCCCAGUCGUGGGGGAUAACGUAGUGAAAAUUACGCUAAUACCGCAUACGAUCUAUGGAUGAAAGCGAGGGAUCGCAAGACCUCGCGCGAUUGGAGCGGCCGAUAUCAGAUUAGGUAGUUGGUGGGGUAAAGGCCCACCAAGCCAACGAUCUGUAGCUGGUCUGAGAGGACGACCAGCCACACUGGAACUUGGACACGGUCCAGACUCCUACGGGAGGCAGCAGUGGGGAAUUUUGGACAAUGGGCGAAAGCCUGAUCCAGCCAUUCCGCGUGCAGGGUGAAGGCCCUCGGGUUGUAAACUGCUUUUGUACAGAACGAAAAGGUUUCUACUAAUACUAGGAGCUCAUGACGGUACUGUAAGAAUAAGCACCGGCUAACUACGUGCCAGCCGCCGCCGUAA
rnacentral:rRNA from 1 species